CCUACGGGAGGCAGCAGUGGGGAAUAUUGGACAAUGGGCGCAAGCCUGAUCCCGCAAUACCGCGUGUGUGAAGAAGGCCUGCGGGUUGUAAAGCACUUUCAGUGGGGAAGAUAAUGACGUUACCCACAGAAGAAGCACCGGCUAACUCCGUGCCAGCAGCCGCGGUAAUACGGAGGGUGCGAGCGUUAAUCGGAAUUACUGGGCGUAAAGCGUGCGUAGGCGGUUAUUUAAGUCAGAUGUGAAAUCCCCGGGCUCAACCUGGGAAAUGCAUCUGAUACUGGGUAACUAGAGUGUGGGAGAGGAGAGUGGAAUUUCCGGUGUAGCGGUGAAAUGCAUAGAGAUCGGAAGGAACACCAGUGGCGAAGGCGGCUCUCUGGACCAACACUGACGCUGAGGUACGAAAGCGUGGGUAGCAAACAGGAUUAGAUACCCUGGUAGUCCACGCCGUAAACGAUGUCAACUAGCCGUCAGGCCCGCUUUAG
rnacentral:rRNA from 1 species